UGUAAUUUGUCAGGUUUCAUAAAUGGUGUGGUUGUGUUAGAUUUUGGUUGUGUUAGUUGUGUUAGUCAGUACAGGUGUACAUGUUUCUCAUGUUCUAAAACUUCAUUUUUACUUCAAGAUGAGAUCAAUAUGACUGAUUCCGAUGACGAUGAUCAUGAUGAAAGUGAUUCCGAUUAUUCUGGGGCUGGAGCGGCAGGUGCUUCUAGUAGUGCUGCUGUUCAGGAGAUGCCCAUUGAGAAAACCUCUGUUCCUCAAGACAAUGGCAGAGAAGAUGAAAUGGAAAACCCACGGAGAGGACGAAGAGUGUGCUGGUCAAAUGCUGAAAUUACAGCUGUAAUGAAGCAUUUUAAGGCACAUAUAGCCAAAGGAAAAUUGGCCACAAUGACUGAGUGCCAGCAGUGCAAAACUUCUGAAGAUCCUGUUUUGGCAAGUCGUAGUGUGCAAAACAUAAGAGAUUUUGUGAGAAAUCGGGGAAUUAGCUUGAAAAGAAACUCAAAAUAAGUGAUAUAACAUCCUGUUCUCGUUUGCCCUUCUAUUAAGAUAAGCACUUUCGUUGUUGUUUUAAGUAUUUUUCAUAGUGGAGUGCUUAAGAACGUUACUCUAGUUUAGCUUAUGGGGAGCAGGCCUGUCCUUUUGUCACUCAUGUUGUUCCAAACACACAUGGACCUCUUCAGCGGAACAGAAAGGAGAUGUUUAGCAGACUGUUUUGGUCAAUGUCAUCCUCAAACACCCCUGAUAUUCACUGUAUGGAGAAGGUGUAAUGUGAAUGGUGUUGGUGUCUGAAGCUGUGGCUGUCUGAAAUGUUCUGCGGAACAUCUCCUUUCUGUUCCACUGGAGAGUUCAUAUCAUCUUUUAAAUGUUUUGCAAAUGUUUACAUUCUUGCCAUAAUUAUUGGCAUUUUAAUAAUGGCAAAACAUUUAUUUUGUUUUAUUUGAUUUUUUUAAGACUCUGCAAGUGUUUUAUUGUCCAUGUUUUGAAAUUUGUUGAUGUUACUUUUCUCCCUAAAAUGGCAUGCCAUGCUUAUAAAACAUGCUAAACUGAAAGGGGGAAAAAACAAAAAAAUCAUUUAU